AGAGAGAACACUCCAGGAGGGAAGCUAAAAGACAAAGUCAAACAAACUAACAAAUGAGCACGUUAAAAAUCUGAGUGAAUGAUUAUCGAAGUUUUCAAAGUUCAGUGAAAGUGUUUGGAAUGACUACAUGAAAGGUGCAUAGAAACCUAAGCAACAAAAUAAUUGUCGACUAUCUCCAAGGGAAAUGGAAAAUUACGUUUUCAUGUAAUUUGAAGUAUACAUGAACUUUGAAAAUAUCAUUUCAAAUGUAAUUUGAAAAAGAAAAAAUGAAAUAUGAUCAGAGAGUACUAUGCAGUUCAGCUGUGAAUGAUACAUCCAUCGUCAGGACAAGGAGCACUUCCUUUUCCAGUGGAACCAGGCACACACUGAAGUCAAGAGACAAAUCGAUAUGAUGAACAACAUAGUGUAUUUAUGAUCAUGCCUUCCCCUCUGACAACCAAUGUUUUGUUUCCUGGAUAAAGUUAUCUUCCUGA